rnacentral:rRNA from 1 species
CACGCAGGCGGUUUGUUAAGUCAGAUGUGAAAUCCCGGGGCUCAACCUGGGGACUGCAUCUGAUACUGGCAAGCUUGAGUCUCGUAGAGGGGGUGGAAUUCCAGGUGUAGCGGUGAAAUGCGUAGAGAUCUGGAGGAAUACCGGUGGCGGAGGCGGCCCCCUGGACGAAGGGACUGACGCUCAGGUGCGAAAGCGUGGAGAGCAAAC